rnacentral:lncRNA from 1 species
UUUCCCCAUUUCCCCCUCAUUUCACCUCACAUUUCCCUCAUAUUUCCCUCAUUUCACCUCAUAUUUCCCCAUUUUCCCCUCAUUUUCCCCCCAUUUUCCCCUCAUUUCAACUCACAUUUCCCACAUUCCCCCUCACAUUCCCCCAUUUUUCUCACUUUCCCCAUUUUCCCUUCAUUUUUCCCCAUUUUCACCUCAUAUUUCCCCAUUUUCCCUCAUUUUCCCCUCAUUUCCCCUCACAUUUCCCUCACAUUUCUCUCAUUUCACCUCAUAUUUCUCCAUUUUUCCCUCACUUUCCCGCUCCUCCCCUCAGCCAAGGCCUCCCGCCUCUCGCUGCCGCUGCCGCCUCUGGCCCUGCGGCCUCUCCCGCUGCGCUGGGGCGCGCCCGAAACCUCUCGGGGGGAUCCGGACGAGGACGACGAGGACGAGGAGGACGAGGAAGAAGCGGCGGGACCCGAGGAGGCCUCGGCGGAGCCCGUCCCGCUCGUGGUUUCGCGCUGGGACGGCCGCGGCCUCCGCGGCCUCCUGAAACCUCCGCGCCGCCCGCCGGAAGUUGGACUGAGCUCCAACCGGAAGCGAAAAGCGGUAUCCUUCUUCGAUGACGUCACAGUCCACCUAUUCGAUCAGGAGACGCCGACCAACGAGUUGAGCGGGCAGAGCGGCCCCGAGGAGCCCGCGGCGAUGGCGCCCCCCGAUGGCUUGGCCGCCGUCGAGAACUGACCCCGGGGGAGGGGGAGGGGCGGGGCCGAAGCCCCUCCCCCUUUCCCUUGGCCCCGCCCUCUUUCCCUGGCCCCGCCCCCACUUUGGGGGUGGGGGAGGGGCGGAAAUUUGGGGGGGGGAGGGGCAAUAAAGAAUUCCAGGCUUCCUGGAUUUUACUGGGA